rnacentral:ncRNA from 1 species
CGCAUGGGGAUUGCGAUCUCCCCAUGAGGCGACAGCCAAAGCAUCGCGUCCUUCCACCGCCAAAGAGCGAGGACGCGCCAUG